AUAUCAGUCAUGCAUAGCAUAUCAAUAAGCGGAGGAAAAGAAACUAACAAGGAUUCCCUUAGUAACGGCGAGUGAAGCGGGAAGAGCUCAAAUUUGAAAUCUUCAAGGUUUUACCUUGACGAAUUGUAGUUUAAAGAAGUGUUUUCUGUUGAAGUUUUGGUAAAAGUUCUUUGGAAUAGGACAUCAUAGAGGGUGAGAAUCCCGUAUUUGACCAUUACUUUCAGCUUUGUGAUACACUUUCAAAGAGUCGGAUUGUUUGGGAAUGCAGUCCAAAAUGGGUGGUAAAUUUCAUCUAAAGCUAAAUAUUGGCGAGAGACCGAUAGCGAACAAGUACCGUGAGGGAAAGAUGAAAAGAACUUUGAAAAGAGAGUUAAACAGUACGUGAAAUUGUCAAAAGGGAAGCGUUUGACACCAGUGUUGUUUUCUCGGAAAUCAAUUAAAAAGAGUUGGAUUUUGUGUUGUAUUGACUUUAUCAGCUUUCUUCACUCUUUUCCAGCUUUUUUUAAUGCACUUUUCGUUUAACAAGUCAACAUCAGUUUCUUUUGUUGUAAAAAGGUCAUUGGAAGGUGGCUUUCUCUUCGGAGAAAGUGUUUAUAGCCUUUGACUCAUGCAAUCGGAGAGACUGAGGUCUGCAGCGUAGAUCCUUCGGGGUUAGAUACAUUUGUGCUAAGUUAUAGCUUUUCAUAGACAACUUGUUGACUAUGUUUAGUCUUGUAGCUUACUCGCUUAUGCUAUUUUACCUACGCUUAGGAUGUUGAACUCUAUCACACACAG
rnacentral:rRNA from 1 species